UAGCAAGUUGGUACCACUCCUUCCCAUCCCGAACAGGACAGUGAAACGACUUUGCGCCGAUGAUAGUGCGGGUUCCCGUGUGAAAGUAGGUC
rnacentral:rRNA from 1 species